AUGGAUUAUUGUGCUCCCAUCUUUCUUUUGUUAACUUUUCUUCUAUUUUCUUUUGUGAGGAUUGAAAACUAAGCUGACAUCCUAGUUUUAACUCUGACAAAUUGGUUCUUGAGGUGUCUGAGAAAUUGGUUCUUGUUUUGUAUCAUGCUUUGCUCUCAAAAUUCCUGGAAACCAUGGUAGAGAUUUCUGCCCGUUUGUAUACUAGAAAUGUUGUAUAAACCAAUUUAUGAGUGUUCUUAUGUCAUGAGUGCAGAGUGCUUACAGUUUCCUUUUACCACUCUUCGUUUCUUUUUGUUUUUGUAGUUUACAAGGAUUAGUAAAUAUGUUUCUUUUGGAAAACUAGAUCUUGUAUGUUUGUAAUUAGAAACGUACUUGAACUUUCAAAGAAAGUAAUGUUAGUUUCAAAAUGAGUUUCUUUGACUUCGGUCAUGUGAAGCCUCUUUCCUCCAUAAACCCUUUGUUUUGGGAUGUAAUUUUAACCGAUCUACAUGUUUCCAUUUGUCAGUCCUGCCUGUCAAAGAUUCGAAGCCUCGUCUUUGUUGAGAUAGCAUCUUUUUGGAACUCGGAACUGAUUUUGGACAUUCCUCCACCGCCAAGCUUCGUGGCUAUCACAGUUGUUGGUGUCGAACCCAGAACCGGUACCAUAUCUUUUGAAGAAAACAUGAUCACCUCAAUAUUUCGGUGCUUGUGACUCUCAAGGAAAUAUCCGAGCUUCAUUCUGGUCCAUCACGUGGCUUUCAGGCGGUCUUAGGAUUGAUUGUACAAGUUCAAUCCUCGAUACAUACUGGGGAAGACUCCAAGAAGUUUUGUGAUCGCAGGUGAGCCAAGUAAAACAUGCUGCUGAUUUGUGAUUGAAGAUGAGCUAAACCGAGCGCUUUGCAGACUUGUGGCUGGAGGUAGGCACCCUUUUGUAAAGAGAUGGUUACUUUACUUUCAAGGGCAUGAUGACUUUGAUGCAGGGUGUUUUUGUUUUUUUCAAAAGGACAGAACUGUUGUUGGCGAGUGGACUAAGCAAUUUCCAGGACCCAAUAUAUGGUAAAGUCAUAUUUCUUCAUGGUAAAGUCUCUCGCACUUUCAAGUACCCCAAGUUCAGAGAAUGACUUGCAUGCAACCAUGAUGGAAUUGAUGGAAAAUGUCUAGGAACUGCUUUUGUGCAUUUUGAUAGAACUGAUGGAAAGUGUUGAACAAUAUAAUGCAUGCAGUUGUUGUAACUACUAUAUGGAUGCUACUAGGUUUUUGUCUUAGUUAGAUUAGGAUCCAUGCAACAAUGGCAGGGGUUAAUGUAAAGACUAGCAUGCUAACUAGUUUAAUUAGUAUUAUGCUACUGAUGGGAAUGUAUUUUGGUGGGUUAAUUGAUGCAAUGAGGAAUUUGCUGAUUUCAGAUCUUAUAAUAUGCCUUUUUG